rnacentral:piRNA from 1 species
UGAUUGAAAUUACGAGUUGAUCUUCAGU